UACGAAGGGGGCUAGCGUUGUUCGGAUUUACUGGGCGUAAAGCGCACGUAGGCGGAUUUUUAAGUCAGGGGUGAAAUCCCGGGGCUCAACCCCGGAACUGCCUUUGAUACUGGAAGUCUUGAGUAUGGUAGAGGUGAGUGGAAUUCCGAGUGUAGAGGUGAAAUUCGUAGAUAUUCGGAGGAACACCAGUGGCGAAGGCGGCUCACUGGACCAUUACUGACGCUGAGGUGCGAAAGCGUGGGGAGCAAAC
rnacentral:rRNA from 1 species